AUGAACGCUAGCGACAGGCUUAACACAUGCAAGUCGAGGGGCAGCACAGGUAGCAAUACCGGGUGGCGACCGGCGCACGGGUGAGUAACGCGUAUGCAACUUGCCUAUCAGAGGGGGAUAACCCGGCGAAAGUCGGACUAAUACCGCAUGAAGCAGGGGCCCCGCAUGGGGAUAUUUGCUAAAGAUUCAUCGCUGAUAGAUAGGCAUGCGUUCCAUUAGGCAGUUGGCGGGGUAACGGCCCACCAAACCGACGAUGGAUAGGGGUUCUGAGAGGAAGGUCCCCCACAUUGGUACUGAGACACGGACCAAACUCCUACGGGAGGCAGCAGUGAGGAAUAUUGGUCAAUGGGCGUAAGCCUGAACCAGCCAAGUCGCGUGAGGGAUGAAGGUUCUAUGGAUCGUAAACCUCUUUUAUAAGGGAAUAAAGUGCGGGACGUGUCCCGUUUUGUAUGUACCUUAUGAAUAAGGAUCGGCUAACUCCGUGCCAGCAGCCGCGGUAAUACGGAGGAUCCGAGCGUUAUCCGGAUUUAUUGGGUUUAAAGGGUGCGUAGGCGGCCUUUUAAGUCAGCGGUGAAAGUCUGUGGCUCAACCAUAGAAUUGCCGUUGAAACUGGGGGGCUUGAGUAUGUUUGAGGCAGGCGGAAUGCGUGGUGUAGCGGUGAAAUGCAUAGAUAUCACGCAGAACCCCGAUUGCGAAGGCAGCCUGCCAAGCCAUUACUGACGCUGAUGCACGAAAGCGUGGGGAUCAAACAGGAUUAGAUACCCUGGUAGUCCACGCAGUAAACGAUGAUCACUAGCUGUUUGCGAUACACUGUAAGCGGCACAGCGAAAGCGUUAAGUGAUCCACCUGGGGAGUACGCCGGCAACGGUGAAACUCAAAGGAAUUGACGGGGGCCCGCACAAGCGGAGGAACAUGUGGUUUAAUUCGAUGAUACGCGAGGAACCUUACCCGGGUUUGAACGUAGUCUGACCGGAGUGGAAACACUCCUUCUAGCAAUAGCAGAUUACGAGGUGCUGCAUGGUUGUCGUCAGCUCGUGCCGUGAGGUGUCGGCUUAAGUGCCAUAACGAGCGCAACCCUUGCCACUAGUUACUAACAGGUGAUGCUGAGGACUCUGGUGGGACUGCCAGCGUAAGCUGCGAGGAAGGCGGGGAUGACGUCAAAUCAGCACGGCCCUUACAUCCGGGGCGACACACGUGUUACAAUGGCGUGGACAAAGGGAGGCCACCUGGCGACAGGGAGCGAAUCCCCAAACCACGUCUCAGUUCGGAUCGGAGUCUGCAACCCGACUCCGUGAAGCUGGAUUCGCUAGUAAUCGCGCAUCAGCCAUGGCGCGGUGAAUACGUUCCCGGGCCUUGUACACACCGCCCGUCAAGCCAUGGGAGCCGGGGGUACCUGAAGUCCGUAACCGAAAGGAUCGGCCUAGGGUAAAACUGGUGACUGGGGCU
rnacentral:rRNA from 1 species